AUGCCAGCUUAUGUUGAUUAUGUUGACUUGAGUGUUGCUGCUGGUCCUUUGAGAUCGAUAGGCUUUUUAGUGUUUGAUCCCCGACCCUGUGAUGAACUCAAAGUUCUGAGGGUUUUAUGUUUGGUUUUGGAAAUAGUGUGCCUUGAUGAACUUCUGAUAGCUUCUUCUCUCACAGUUGCCUUGGAUUGUUGCCUUUGUGUUGUUGCCUUGGGAUGA